UAGGGAAUCUUCGGCAAUGGGGGCAACCCUGACCGAGCAACGCCGCGUGAGUGAAGAAGGUUUUCGGAUCGUAAAGCUCUGUUGUAAGAGAAGAACGUGUGUGAGAGUGGAAAGUUCACACAGUGACGGUAACUUACCAGAAAGGGACGGCUAACUACGUGCCAGCAGCCGCGGUAAUACGUAGGUCCCGAGCGUUGUCCGGAUUUAUUGGGCGUAAAGCGAGCGCAGGCGGUUUAAUAAGUCUGAAGUUAAAGGCAGUGGCUUAACCAUUGUUCGCUUUGGAAACUGUUAAACUUGAGUGCAGAAGGGGAGAGUGGAAUUCCAUGUGUAGCGGUGAAAUGCGUAGAUAUAUGGAGGAACACCGGUGGCGAGAGCGGCUCUCUGGUCUGUAACUGACGCUGAGGCUCGAAAGCGUGGGGAGCAAACAGG
rnacentral:rRNA from 1 species